rnacentral:misc_RNA from 1 species
UUUCCGUAGGUGAACCAGCGGAAGGAUCAUUAUCGAGUUUUGACUGUGUUGUAGCUGGCCUUCCGAGGCAUGUGCACGCCCUGCUCAUCCACUCUACACCUGUGCACUUACUGUGGGUAUCAGAUCGUGAAGCGUGCUCUUUUACCGGAGCUUGUGAAGCGUGUCUGUGCCUGCGUUUAUCACAAACACUAUAAAGUAUCAGAAUGUGUAUUACGAUGUAACGCAUCUAUAUACAACUUUCAGCAACGGAUCUCUUGGCUCUC